rnacentral:siRNA from 1 species
CGACAUGGAAACGAACAAGGCCA